ACUACUUCUCUGUCAUCUUUAGCUGAGGAGGGAAAGGGAUGACUGCUGUAUCCACAGGCUGGCUUCAAAAUCCAAAGGAAACAACAGAGGUAGGGAACUAGGCCUGCUGCAGAAGGUAUAUUCCCUUGCCACAUUCACCAAAGCAGGGAGAGCAAUGGCAGAUGGUGGGAAAAUCUUCAUUAAAAAGAGCAAAAUGCCUCACCUCUACCCAAAGGCUGCUAUACACUGACAAGAGACAAAGAGAUCAUAUUAAUUCAAUCAGCUUGCAUUAAUUACACAACAAAUGGCCCUCCAGCACUGAGAAUUGCACAGCACACAAAAGGAAGAUCUACAGCUGCUGUUCACAGGGGGCUGAGACACCCUGAAGUUGUGGGCAAGAAGGCUUGGGUGGAUUUUAACCUACUCCUCAUUGAAAUAGCUGUUAUUUCCUCAAGCCUGCUGUCUUCUGCUUAACACCUGAGAAUCCUUGUCAUAGGAUACUGAAAGACAAAACCUCACUUCAAUGCUAUGAAGAAAACCAGGUAACCCAGAGGAGAAACACAUUCAAUGCAACCUCCCAACAGCACAUGCAGGAGAAAACAGGAAAAGAACAUUUUUCUAAGAAUAACUCACCAUUUUCAGACUUCUGCAGGGAGUACUUGUACUCGACA